GCCGGGCGUGGUGGUGCGUGCCUGUAGUCCCAGCUACUCAGGAGGCUGAGGCUGGAGGAUCGCUUGAGCCCAGUUCUGGGCUAUAGUGCGCUAUGCCGAUCGGGUGUCCGCACUAAGUUUGGCAUCAAUAUGCUGACCUCCCGGGAGCGGGGGACCACCAGGUUGCCUAAGGAGGGGUGAACCGGCCCAGGUCAGAAAUGGGUCAGGUCAAAACUCCCUGCUGAUCAGUAGUAGGAUCAUGCCUGUGAAUAGCCACUGCACUCCAGGCUGGGCAACAUAGCGAGACCCCAUCUCU
rnacentral:SRP_RNA from 1 species